GUACAUACAUAUUUAUGAGGACAUCUUAACGAAUGCCAUAGUAUUUCCUGUACCGGUUGGGGUAUAUAAACUGCAUAAGCUGAUGACUUUCAGCGGGCUAAGGUUUUGAUAACAUGUACUGGAAUGUCUUGGCUUGAGGCAGUAGAUGCUGUCCCUAUCCUGAAUGAGUGUCCAGAAUAUCUGUUGGCAUUCAAGCCGAGUUGUGCCAACAAUAGUCGUACAUACACCAUAAAUUUAGAAGUGGUGAGGGUAGCCCCGUGAAGUGACAGGAUAGGGGGUAAAGCGUGAGUGGGUACAGAAAGUAGGUAUGCAUCAAAAACUUUCACUGGGCACCAUAAAU